CGCUGGCGGCGGGUCUACACAUGCAAGUCGAGGGACGAACCGAGGUGCUUGCACCUUGGGGAAACCGGCGAACGGGUGAGUAACACGUGAGGAACCUGCCCUGUACACCGGGAUAACCGCGGGAAACCGUGGCUAAUACCGGAUGCUCCGCUCCGGCCGCAUGGCUGGAGUGGGAAAGCUCAGGCGGUACAGGAGGGCCUCGCGGCGUAUCAGCUUGUUGGUGAGGUAACGGCUCACCAAGGCGACGACGCGUAGCUGGAGUGAGAGCUCGAUCAGCCACACUGGGACUGAGACACGGCCCAGACUCCUACGGGAGGCAGCAGUGGAGAAUCUUGUCCAAUGGGCGAAAGCCUGAGACAGCCACGCCGCGUGCGGGACGAAGGCCUUCGGGUCGUAAACCGCUUUCAGGAGGGAAGAAGCGAAAGUGACGGUACCUCCAGAAGAAGCCCCGGCCAACUACGUGCCAGCAGCCGCGGUAAUACGUAGGGGGCGAGCGUUGUCCGGAAUCAUUGGGCGUAAAGCGCAUGUAGGCGGCCACGUAAGUCGGUUGUGAAAUCCCGAGGCUCAACCUCGGAACUGCGACCGAUACUGCAUGGCUUGAGGAAGGUAGAGGAGAGUGGAAUUCCCGGUGUAGCGGUGGAAUGCGCAGAUAUCGGGAGGAACACCAGCGGCGAANGCGGCUCUCUGGGCCUUUCCUGACGCUGAGAUGCGAAAGCGUGGGUAGCGAACAGGAUUUAGAUACCCUGGUAGUCCACGCUGUAAACGAUGGGUGCUAGGUGUGGGGGCCAGUUCACGGCCUCCGUGUCGAAGCUNAC
rnacentral:rRNA from 1 species